UACGUAGGGUGCAAGCGUUGUCCGGAAUUAUUGGGCGUAAAGAGCUCGUAGGUGGUCUGUUGCGUCGGCUGUGAAAUCCCGAGGCUCAACCUCGGGCCUGCAGCCGAUACGGGCAGACUAGAGUUCGGCAGGGGAGACUGGAAUUCCUGGUGUAGCGGUGAAAUGCGCAGAUAUCAGGAGGAACACCGAUGGCGAAGGCAGGUCCCUGGGCCACUACUGACGCUGAGAAGCGAAAGCAUGGGGAGCGAACAGG
rnacentral:rRNA from 1 species